rnacentral:rRNA from 1 species
GACGAACGCUGGCGGCGUGCCUAAUACAUGCAAGUUGAACGCUGAAGAGAGGAGCUUGCUCUUCUUGGAUGAGUUGCGAACGGGUGAGUAACGCGUAGGUAACCUGCCUUGUAGCGGGGGAUAACUAUUGGAAACGAUAGCUAAUACCGCAUAACAAUGGAUGACACAUGUCAUUUAUUUGAAAGGGGCAAUUGCUCCACUACAAGAUGGACCUGCGUUGUAUUAGCUAGUAGGUGAGGUAAUGGCUCACCUAGGCGACGAUACAUAGCCGACCUGAGAGGGUGAUCGGCCACACUGGGACUGAGACACGGCCCAGACUCCUACGGGAGGCAGCAGUAGGGAAUCUUCGGCAAUGGGGGCAACCCUGACCGAGCAACGCCGCGUGAGUGAAGAAGGUUUUCGGAUCGUAAAGCUCUGUUGUAAGUCAAGAACGGGUGUGAGAGUGGAAAGUUCACACUGUGACGGUAGCUUACCAGAAAGAGACGGCUAACUACGUG